UACGGGGGGGGCAAGCGUUGUUCGGAAUUACUGGGCGUAAAGGGCUCGUAGGCGGCCCACUAAGUCAGACGUGAAAUCCCUCGGCUUAACCGGGGAACUGCGUCUGAUACUGGAUGGCUUGAGGUUGGGAGAGGGAUGCGGAAUUCCAGGUGUAGCGGUGAAAUGCGUAGAUAUCUGGAGGAACACCGGGGGCGAAGGCGGCAUCCUGGGCCAAUUCUGACGCUGAGUGAGCGAAAGCCAGGGGAGCAAACGGG
rnacentral:rRNA from 1 species